UACCAGCACCCCGAGUGGUCGGGACGUUUAUUGGGCCUAGAGCAUCCGUAGCCGGUUCUACGAGUCUUCCGUUAAAUCCAACUGCUUAACAGGUGGGCUGCGGAAGAUACUAUAGAGCUAGGAGGCGGGAGAGGCAAGCGGUACUCGAUGGGUAGGGGUAAAAUCCGUUGAUCCAUUGAAGACCACCAGUGGCGAAGGCGGCUUGCCAGAACGCGCUCGACGGUGAGGGAUGAAAGCUGGGGGAGCAAACCGG
rnacentral:rRNA from 1 species